CAGAGACCAUGUGAGUUGCCCUCCACACAUGUUCUAAAAAUGACACCAUGAAAUUCCUUAUAAAAAAAUUAUAGUUGCUGUUCUUUUAAAAUCAAAAAUACUUACAUUAAUGCAGAUUUUAAAUUACAAUAUUUAUUAUAAUUUAAAAAAAAAAAAAAAAAAAAAAAACGUCUUCGGUGUAAAUGAACUUUGACCUUGUCCGAGUUCAGAGUCAGAGUUCACUGCGCAUGUCAAACCACCACGUCACUCUGCUGAAGUGUCCGGGUGCAGACACUUUGGGAAGCUGGAUGUGGUUUUUACCCCCCAAAACAUGACAGAGAAGUGAAAGAGAAAACACUAUUUUCACGAUGACUGGGAGGAAGAGUUCUUUUUUCAGGACAGUGAAAGAUAAAUGUAUGUGUCCUAUUUGCGGGGCGACUAUUGCGUCGGCAAAGCGGCACAAUGUGGAGAGACGCUACUUUACCCACCACAAAGCUUCCAUGCUAACUAGCCACCUGCUAGCGCACAUAGACUGUAUGCGCAAUACGGACAGAAAAAGGGGCUCCCUACAUGACGUGUCGCCAUGCAGGCUUCACUGUACGAUGCAGAGGUGAUCCAGACUUCCCAGCAUUCCUACAUUACCACUGCAUCAUUCACCAGCAGGCCAUAUGUAUGUACAAAAGUGGCCGGAUUUGAUCAUGUGAUGACUCGUGUCAUGAAGAUCAUAAAUGGCUCCGAAGCCAAACAACCAGGACAUUGAAGAUGCUGCUGGAGGAGCUGUCAGCUGAACAUGAUGAUCUGUUACUACACACAGAAACCCCAUGGAUCAGCAGGGGGACAGUUUUGCAGCGUUUUUUGUCACUGUUGGCCGAAAUGAAAGAGUUGACGCAAUCCAAAGGGGAAGACACCUUGCUGCUUGAUGACACCGAGUGGAUUCUUGCCCUUGUAUUUUUAAUGGACAUCACUGGGAAACUGAACCAUCUGAACUGUGAGCUGCAAGGUAAAGCCACUGGGCCUGAUUGCUAACAGGCUGGCCCUGCGGUCCUCUCGCUUUGACUUCACUGUGUGGUGUGCAACAGAAACCGCAAACAGACCCCAGCCCAGCCAUCAGCGAGCUCCCAGCAACCCCGGUGGAUCCGUACAGUUGCUGCCGGAUUCACGGGAUUUGGCCAGGUUCAAAAUGACUUUAAUGACACGUUCUGCACGUUAUAGCACAGAUAAAUGCCACUCUCAGUUUUUCUUUCAAUCAGUCUCUGUUCUUUUUCUUGUGUUGGCUUGAGGACGAUGGGGGUUACAGACCUAUAUUCUCCAUCCAAGCCUGGAGGAUGACCUCAUGGGGCCUGCAGCUGCCAUCACCAUUCUCGCAGGAGUUAAUAGGAACAGUAUGUAGCCUCUGGAAAAGACUGCCUCCUUCUCUUUUCCUUCUUUCUUUUUCUGUCCCCACCAUUAGAAUUCGAGAGAGCCAAUACUCUGCCUUCAUUAUUUAUUUAUAUAUUUAUUUUUUUACUUUUCUCAGAAACCGCUUUUUUUUUUUUUU